rnacentral:ncRNA from 1 species
CAAAGGCUUGGUCCUGACUUUAAUAUCAACUUUAGCUAAACUUACACAUGCAAGUAUCCGCCCCCCUGUGAGAAUGCCCUUAACCCUCUGCACGAGAGAAAGGAGCCGGUAUCAGGCACGACCCCGUCAGCCCACUACACCUUGCUUAGCCACACCCUCAAGGGAAUUCAGCAGUGAUAAAUAUUAAGCCAUAAGUGAAAACUUGACUUAGUUAAAGCUAAAAGGGCCGGUAAAACUCGUGCCAGCCACCGCGGUUAUACGAGAGACCCAAGUUGACAAACUCCGGCGUAAAGCGUGGUUAGGGGGCACUCAAACUAAAGCCGAACACCCUCAAAGCUGUUAUACGCAUCCGAAGGCAUGAAGCACACACACGAAAGUAACUUUACAAAUCCUGAAGCCACGAAAGCUAAGACACAAACUGGGAUUAGAUACCCCACUAUGCUUAGCCCUAAACAUAGAUAGCAUCCCUACCUCAGCUAUCCGCCUGGGAACUACAAGCACCAGCUUAAAACCCAAAGGACUUGGCGGUGCUUUAGAUCCACCUAGAGGAGCCUGUUCUAGAACCGAUACCCCCCGUUCAACCUCACCCCUCCUUGUUUUACCCGCCUAUAUACCGCCGUCGUCAGCUUACCCUGUGAAGGACUUAUAGUAAGCAAAAUUGGUACAACCCUAAACGUCAGGUCGAGGUGUAGCGUAUGGAGGGGGAAGAAAUGGGCUACAUUUUCUACCCCAGAAAACUACGGAAGACACGCUGAAAAGCAUGACCGAAGGAGGAUUUAACAGUAAGCAAAAAAUAGAGCGUUUUGCUGAAAUUGGCCCUGAAGCGCGCACACACCGCCCGUCACUCUCCCCAAGCCCACUAAUAAAUAUGUAACUAAACCUUAACACACGCAAAGGGGAGGCAAGUCGUAACAUGGUAAGUGUACCGGAAGGUGCACUUGGAAAAAC